UCCUCGUUAGUAUAGUGGUGAGUAUCCCGGCCUGUCACACGGAGACCGGGGUUCGAUUCCCCGGACGGGAG